CACGUAGGCACCAAGCGUUGUCCGGAUUUAUUGGGCGUAAAGAGCUCGUAGGCGGUGUGUCGCGUCGGCCGUGAAAACCUGCAGCUUAACUGUGGGCGUGCGGUCGAUACGGGCAUCACUGGAGUUCGGCAGGGGAGACUGGAAUUCCUGGUGUAGCGGUGAAAUGCGUAGAGAUCAUGAGGAAGACCAGUGGCGAAGGCGGGUCUCUGGACAGUUCCUGACACUGAGACACGAAGGCCCAGGG
rnacentral:rRNA from 1 species